rnacentral:rRNA from 1 species
GACGAACCGUCCAAACGUUAUUCGGAAUUACUGGGCUUAAAGGGUGCGUAGGCGGCGCGGAAAGUUGGGUGUGAAAUCCCUCGGCUCAACCGAGGAACUGCCCUCCAAACUGCUUUGCUUGAGGCCGGGAGAGGUGAGUGGAAUUCCCAGUGUAGCGGUGAAAUACGUAGAUAUUGGGAGGAACACCAGUGGCGAAGGCGGCUCACUGGACUGGUACUGACGCUGAUGCGCGAAAGCGUGGGGAGCAAACAGG